rnacentral:misc_RNA from 1 species
UUUCCGUAGGUGAACCUGCGGAAGGAUCAUUAAAAAAUGAGACCUCGAUUUCAAGGUCUAUUAAUAAUCCUACCCUUUGUGAAUUUGUUUGUUUAAUUAUGUGUCUUUCCCUGUUGGUUUGAAGCUUUGUUUAAAAGUUUCGAACCUUCAGGGGAAUGGCAAAACUUUUUUUAAAAUAAACUUUUUGUAUUCAUUUGUCUAAAAUUAUUUUUAUAAUAUAAAAACAACUUUUGACAAUGGAUCUCUUGGUUCUCGCAACGAUGAAGAACGCAGCAAAAUGCGAUAAGUAGUGUGAAUUGCAGAAUACGUGAAUCAUCGAAUCUUCGAACGCAUAUUGCACUUUUUUAGUUUACUAAAAAAGUAUGUCUGUUUGAGUAUCAGUAAAAUAUUCUCAUAAAAACUUUUGUUUUAUGGUUAUGAGUGUUUUACAACGAUACAAGUUGUUUCACUUUAAAUUCUUUGUCUUUUAAAAAAUCAUUAAAAACUGAUUUUUUUUUAAAAAUUGGAUAAAAUUUUCCCGUAAAAGGAAUAACCUAAACAAUUUUAAAUUAAAUUGGUUUGAUUUCUUUUAAGAAUUAAAGGAAAAAAAGUAAAAAUUAACUUGAUCUCAAAUCAGAUAAGAGUACCCGCUGAACUUAAGCAUAUCAAUAAGCGGAGGAAAAGAAACUAACAAGGAUUCCCUUAGUAACGGCGAGUGAAGCGGGAAGAGCUCAAAUUUGAAAUCUUCAAGGUUCUACCUUGACGAAUUGUAGUUUAAAGAAGUGUUUUCUGUUAGUGGAGUGGCAAAAGUUCUUCGGAAUAGGACAUCAUAGAGGGUGAGAAUCCCGUAUUUGUCCAUUCUUCUAACUUUGUGAUACACUUUCAAAGAGUCGGAUUGUUUGGGAAUGCAGUCCAAAAUGGGUGGUAAAUUUCAUCUAAAGCUAAAUACUGGCGAGAGACCGAUAGCGAACAAGUACCGUGAGGGAAAGAUGAAAAGAACUUUGAAAAGAGAGUUAAACAGUACGUGAAAUUGUCAAAAGGGAGCGUUUGACACCAGUGUCGUUUUUCCGAAAAUCAAUUACGAAUGUUUUUUUUGAGGAGUUAUGACUUCAUCGGCUUGCUCUCUCUUUACGAACUUUCUUAAUGCACUUUUCGGUUAACAAGUCAACAUCAAUUUCUUUUGUUGUAAAAGGGUAUGAGGAAGGUGGCUUUCUUUUCGGAGAAAGUGUUUAUAGCCUUGUACCUCUGCAAUCGGAGAGAUUGAGGUCUGCAGCGUAGAUCCUUCGGGGUUAGAUACAUUUGUGCUAAGUUAUAGCUUUUCAUAGACAACUUGUUGAUUAUGUUUAGUCUGUAGCUUACUCGCUUAUGUCAUUUUACCUACGCUUAGGAUGUUG